rnacentral:SRP_RNA from 1 species
GCCGGGUGCGGUGGUACGUGCCUGUAGUCCCAGCUACUCGGGAGGCUGAGGCGGGAGGAUCGCUUGAGCCCGGGAGUUCUGGGCUGUAGCGCGCUAUGCCAGUUGGGUGUCUGCCAAAGUUCGGCAUCAAUAUGGUGACUUCCUGGGAGCGGGGGACCACCAGGUUGCCUAAGGAGUGGUGAACCGGCCCAAGUUGGAAACGGAGCGGGUCAAAACUCCCGUGCUGAUCCUUAGUGGGAUCUCGCCUGUGAAUAGCCACUGAACUCCAGCCUGGGCAACAUAGCGAGACCCUGUCUCU